AAUCUCCUACGGGGGGCAGCAGUGAGGAAUAUUGGUCAAUGGGCGCGAGCCUGAACCAGCCAAGUCGCGUGAGGGAAGACGGUCCUAUGGAUUGUAAACUUCUUUUGUCAGGGAGCAAUUGGGUCCACGCGUGGGCUUAGCGAGAGUACCUGAAGAAAAAGCAUCGGCUAACUCCGUGCCAGCAGCCGCGGUAAUACGGAGGAUGCGAGCGUUAUCCGGAUUUAUUGGGUUUAAAGGGUGCGUAGGCGGAAUAUCAAGUCAGCGGUAAAAAUUCGGGGCUCAACCCCGUCGUGCCGUUGAAACUG
rnacentral:rRNA from 1 species